AGUGAACGCUGGCGGUAGGCCUAACACAUGCAAGUCGAACGGCAGCACAGUAAGAGCUUGCUCUAAUGGGUGGCGAGUGGCGGACGGGUGAGGACUACAUCGGAAUCUACUCUCUCGUGGGGGAUAACGUAGGGAAACUCACGCUAAUACCGCACACGACCUACGGGUGAAAGAAGGGUAUCUUUGGACCUUGCGCGAUUGAAUCAGCCGAUGUCGGAUUUGCUAGUUGGAGGGGUCAAGGCCCACAAAGGCGACGUUCCGUAGCUGGUCUGAGAGGAUGAUCAGCCACACUGGGAGUGAGACACGGACCAGAGUCCUACGGAAGGCAGCAAUGGAGAUUAUUGGACAAGGGGCGCAAGCCUGAUGCAGCCGUACCGCGUGGGUGUAGAAGGCCGUCGGGUGGUAAAGCCCUUUUGUUGGGAAAUAAAAGCAGCAGGUUAAUACCCCGCGGUUCUGACGGUACCCAAAGAAUAAGCACCGGCUAACUUCGUG
rnacentral:rRNA from 1 species